rnacentral:rRNA from 1 species
AUUGAACGCUGGCGGAAUGCUUUACACAUGCAAGUCGAACGGCAGCACGGACUUCGGUCUGGUGGCGAGUGGCGAACGGGUGAGUAAUAUAUCGGAACGUAUCCAAUAAUGGGGGAUAACUAAGCGAAAGCUUGGCUAAUACCGCAUACGCCCUACGGGGGAAAGCUAGGGACCUUCGGGCCUGGCGUUAAUGGAGUGGCCGAUAUCUGAUUAGCUAGUUGGUGGGGUAAAGGCCCACCAAGGCGACGAUCAGUAGCUGGUCUGAGAGGACGACCAGCCACACUGGAACUGAGACACGGUCCAGACUCCUACGGGAGGCAGCAGUGGGGAAUUUUGGACAAUGGGCGCAAGCCUGAUCCAGCCAUUCCGCGUGAGUGAAGAAGGCCUUCGGGUUGUAAAGCUCUUUCGCAAGGGAAGAAAACUCAGCUACUAAAAUUAGCUGAGGCUGACGGUACCUUGAUAAGAAGCACCGGCUAACUACGUGCCAGCAGCCGCGGUAAUACGUAGGGUGCGAGCGUUAAUCGGAAUUACUGGGCGUAAAGCGUGCGCAGGCGGUUUUGUAAGUCAGAUGUGAAAUCCCCGAGCUCAACUUGGGAACUGCGUCCGAAACUACAAGACUAGAAUAUGUCAGAGGGGGGUAGAAUUCCACGUGUAGCAGUGAAAUGCGUAGAGAUGUGGAGGAAUAUCAAUGGCGAAGGCAGCCCCCUGGGAUAAUAUUGACGCUCAUGCACGAAAGCGUGGGGAGCAAACAGGAUUAGAUACCCUGGUAGUCCACGCCCUAAACGAUGUCUACUAGUUGUUGGUGGAGUAAAAUCCAUGAGUAACGCAGCUAACGCGUGAAGUAGACCGCCUGGGGAGUACGGUCGCAAGAUUAAAACUCAAAUGAAUUGACGGGGGCCCGCACAAGCGGUGGAUUAUGUGGAUUAAUUCGAUGCAACGCGAAAAACCUUACCUGGCCUUGACAUGUAACGAACUUUCCAGAGAUGGAUUGGUGCUUGAAAGAGAACGUUAACACAGGUGCUGCAUGGCUGUCGUCAGCUCGUGUCGUGAGAUGUUGGGUUAAGU